UUCGGGGGCUUGGAUGAGCCAACGACAAUCGGCGUAAUCCUCGUACUCGCCGGGAUAGUAGGGCGAGUUGAUGUAGCCAUUAGGUUCGUUCUGUAAACGUUCAUUACCUUUGGAGAAAUGAGGCACAGCAAUCGCGACAAUGAUGUAAGCCACAAGGAGAUGCCACAUCUCUGCUAUCCAGACACCCAAACAACAACUCCCGUUUUAUGGAAACAACAUUCAAGAGGAGGAAGAAUCAUCAGUAGGAUUGCGAGUUUCCAGAGUGAGCCUAACUACAGUUUUCAUACCCCGUGGAUGAUGUUCACCUUCAGGAAUAUUAGCUAACCACUCCAGUACUGAAGUGCCUCGUGUAACCUUGCCCCAUAUGGUUUCGGCCGACUUCUUGAUUGCUAUCUCCAUCGCUGUGGCAGUAGAUUUCAGAAAGAAGAGACAUUUGAAAUUGAUCAAUCUUCCAUCUUCGUCAAAACUGGGUUCAAGAGCGACGUCAAGAUUCUCUAGUUCUUCUUGGACUAUCGAUGCCAUCUUUGAAGGAUCAGCGAAGACCAUGACGUCCGACUCCAACGGCUGAAAAUCCAUAUUGAAGCAUUCCAACAUGUAGAAUGAAUUGGGUUUGAACUGAACGGAACUCCCUGGACACGCCGAAGCAGUAUUCACCCAGAGUUUGGACGAACUUGUGCUGGAUCACCAAUGGAGAUGUCAUGAUAUGAACUUCACCCAGUUCGACUUCACCCAUGUAGAACGUCAACACAAACGGACAGCGAUGCUAAGGUGUACAACAUUCAAUGACUUACUGUGAAUUGGCGUUAGUGCUCUUCCAUUCGGCUAAUUGGAGUGCGUAAAUAUUCAAUGGCAAAUCGUCCAGUGACCAGAUGGCACAGGCAUCUCGACACGUGUCGCAGUCGUCAUUCAAACAUCCUUUUUCAGACUUACACAAUAUACAUAUGAAUUAAAAGGAUGUCUUUAACUAA